GUGCUUGCACCUUUCAAGCGAGUGGCGAACGGGUGAGUAACACGUGGAUAACCUGCCUCAAGGCUGGGGAUAACAUUUGGAAACAGAUGCUAAUACCGAAUAAAACUUAGUAUCGCAUGAUACAAAGUUGAAAGGCGCUACGGCGUCACCUAGAGAUGGGUCCGCGGUGCAUUAGUUAGUUGGUGGGGUAAAGGCCUACCAAGACAAUGAUGCAUAGCCGAGUUGAGAGACUGAUCGGCCACAUUGGGACUGAGACACGGCCCAAACUCCUACGGGAGGCUGCAGUAGGGAAUCUUCCACAAUGGGCGAAAGCCUGAUGGAGCAACGCCGCGUGUGUGAUGAAGGCUUUAGGGUCGUAAAGCACUGUUGUAUGGGAAGAAAUGCUAGAAUAGGGAAUGAUUCUAGUUCGACGGUACCAUACCAGAAAGGGACGGCUAAAUACGUGCCAGCAGCCGCGGUAAUACGUAUGUCCCGAGCGUUAUCCGGAUUUAUUGGGCGUAAAGCGAGCGCAGACGGUUGAUUAAGUCUGAUGUGAAAGCCCGGAGCUCAACUCCGGAAUGGCAUUGGAAACUGGUUAACUUGAGUGUUGUAGAGGUAAGUGGAACUCCAUGGGUUAG
rnacentral:rRNA from 1 species